UUCCGGGCUGUAAUCUAAAGCGUUACCGUUUGAGUGAAAAACACUUUAGGUGAAACAUUUAAGUUGAAACAACUAGGUGUUACCAAUAAAAAUGUCUUUUUUUAAGAUCCGACUUCUACUUCUUUCUGUUUAGUUUUGAACUAAAUUGCAAGUUAAAAUGCUUUUAUCAACAAAUGCCACUAUAGGUGUCCUUGGUUUGCCACAUACUCUUGCUAUAAAAAUACAUUACUGUCACUGCAUUAUUAUUACUGCAAAAAGGUUUGGAAAUUUGAUCCACUCUUGGAGCUUCAAAGCGAUAAAGUUUUCAAGAUAUUUUAGUUUUAGAAAAGGCUAUUAUCGGUUUAAUAGUUAUGUAAAGAAUUAGUGUUCACCUGUGGGCCCAUGAAACUUAAUGAGUUAAUGAUGGUACAAAGUUUAAUACAAAAGAGAUUUGAUAGAUUUGGUGUUGAUGUGAGUCAGCUCUUUAAUUUUGAUGAUUUAAUGCAUAAUAAUGUUUGGAUUGUUUAAAAGAUUUUCUCUUUGUUAUAUUUGAUGUGGCCUGUGGUGUGACUGCCGCCCGUGUGAUGUAAUGAGGUCAUAACCAGGUGUCUGAAAUCUGAUGGAUCGUUGACACAAACACAGAAAGAUCUCAAACUAUUUUUAUCUGUCCUGUGUUUAGCUCGGAGCGACUUCAGACCGACCAAUCACAGGAAACAGAAGAUGCUGACCAAACGCCUGCUGAGCAGAAGAGGUGAUCAGACUGGUUUAGUUUUUUUCUGUAUCCUGUGAGACAGUUUCAGUGCUGUCAUAUGUUCAAGCCCACCAGCCAAUCCAUGACCCUGGAACAGCUGUGACAUCACACAUAAGUCACGCAGUCCAGCCGGAGGAGCUUUGUGUGUAUGUGACCUAUAUUACAGAGGAGAGACGUCCACCGUGACCGAACCUUCGUCCGGCACCGGACCGCCACACAACACCUCCAGGAAAUUAGGGAAUUUUUCUUGCGUUCGGCUCUUGUCACCUUGCCUUAAACAUUCUGGUAAAUGCACGCGGAGAUGCUGAUGUUAAAGAGAACCAGAGCGUUUGGGUAACGUGACCUCAGGUCAUUUGUGAAACCCGACGAUGAUGAUGUUUCGCUUGUCUGGCCAAUAGAUGAGCUUGCUUACGUUAAACUAAACCUGAGGAGACGUCUGCGGUUCUCUGCCGUAUAUGAUCGUCAUUUCUCCAACCCUUCUGGCCUUUAUAGCAGUGAGAUAAUGAUAUGACUGUCAGUCCUGGACCAGAACCUUUUCAACUUUACAGCUUUUAAAAUAUUCAUGUGUUUGUGUUCUGUUUUAAGUCAUUUGACACAUUGACAAUUAGGUAGCAAAGUUAAUUUUUUCAUUUGACAACUAAUAACAAAAAAAACACAUCAUAGAAUUUAACAAAUCA